rnacentral:tRNA from 1 species
GGGGCACUGGCUCAGUGAUAGAGUGCUUGCCUCACACGCGUGAGGCACUGAGUUCAAUCCUCAGCACCA